rnacentral:lncRNA from 1 species
GGCUGCCUCCCGCUCACCAGCUCCAGCAUCACCACCCCGAAGCUGUACACGUCGCUCUUCUCCGACAGCUGCUGCGUCAUGUAGUACUCCGGGUCCAGGUAGCCCUAGCCACAUCCCAUCGAUUUUAUUACCAUUUGUUUCAAUCUUGAUUGUUUUCUUUAUACUAUCAGAUCAAAUUAAGCAUAUCUAUUUCAAUUGGUCCUCAAGAUGUUCGUCGAAUUUUACUGAAGCGAACCUAAAAGUUCAGUUAUGUCAGGAGACUUGCAGAAGUGGUUAGUAGGGUGAAUUUUAUCAAUUUGUCAUGAGAUUGGAAGAAGUGGUUAGUAAGGUGAAUUUUAUCGAUUUAUUUUGAGAUUGGGAGAAGUGGUUAGUAAGGUGAAGUGCAAUGGGUACAUGCUUAGUUACCAUAUUUACUUCAAGUUUGAUUUCAAAUUAAGCAUAUCGAUUUUGAUUGGUUCUCAAGAUGUUAGUAGAUUUUUAUUAGUGAGUACUGAAGUGAGGCUCAAAAUUCAGUUCUGUCAGGAGAUUGGCAUGAGCGGAUAGUGAGGGGAAUUUACCAGUGUUCCCUUGACUUGGGUGGAGACAUGGCCCUUCUCAGUGUCGGCCACGAGCUUGGAGAGCC